ACUAGCAGGACAAGGUGGUGAGAUUGUCUGCAGUUUUCAAGAUCAACGUGUAUCUUGCUUUAGGACCGGCCCUUGGGCGAUGUCAGCAUCAACUUAUCACUCUCACACAUUUGGGUCAGUGCCUAUUUUGCCAGUGUGCAUGUGUGUAUUUGUGCUGGGGCAGUAAGUCGAGGUGCAUUUCCUUUCAAUUGUGUGCUCCAUGUGUUUAUGCAUGUAGCCCUCAAAGGCGGUACUCACAAAACCGUUGAACCCUCAGUUCACUGGGGAAAAGAAACCCAAACCGAUUGUCGUAGGAACGAGCCCUCAAAACGCUUCAGUAGGCACAGCGACUGGAUCCCGUAGCGUCGAAGCGGCAGCCCGGUGGCGUUGAGCAGGCAGGACCCUGGCUUUGAAAUAGUAAAUCCGUUCGCGUUGCCUACAGUCAAAAGUCCGUUCGCGUUGAAAACAGUCCAAAAAUCCGUUCGCGUCGAAAAACCAGGUGCAGACCCCCCCGAAAAAAAAACUCUUCACCCCGCCGCAUCUCCCGCUCUUUCUCCUCACGACCCACCUCCUUCCCCCAAUCCCAUUGGACCACCACCCCUUCAAUCAAUCAUUAAAACAAAAAAAACCCUGUAAUGUUCACAGACCCCUCGGAACGCAGGACACCCCAGUAUCCAUCCACACAAAGAACCAAACAAACUUUUAACUAGUUUUCACAACAGCAAUUCAAACAAAUACAGUUCAACACAUUUUAGUCAGUACACUACAUGCAUAAAGCAUAGCUUAUCUGAUUCUCAAGCUCCAAAAUGACUUUGUGGCUAUCAGACCGGCAUCAAAUAUGCUGUUGAAGGUCCCAAGCCUGAGCUGGGUAUAUAAACAACAAUGAAGGUGCCAAGACUAAAUUCUCAGGUGGCCUCACAGCUUUGGCCUUAGCUUAAACAUCUUGCCAGCCAAACAUAUCCACAGCAUAAUGAGUUUGAGUCCCUCAGGUAUUGGGAUGAAUCUAAAGACUCAGUCUAACCUAUCAGCGCGUGUAUUUUUGUGUGCAUGUGUACGUGUUAAUGAAUGAGGUUCCUCUCCCAAGAGCACUCAGGUAAAUCUAAACACAGCUCAUUGGCGUAAGAGGAUUUUACUUUUCCUUGUUGUGGUAAUGAGCUGUGAUAAAUACCAGUGGAUGAGUUACAUGUUUCAUAUAUACUUUCAAUUGAUGGAAAACACAGCCUUUAGAUUGUCUUGUUGUCAAGGAGAUUUCCCAUGAGUCUUGAUGACUGUGACAAAAAAUGUGAAACCUUGUUAACACUGUCUCCCUUGGUAGUUGAAGAAAAAUGUUUCUUAGGCCAACAGCUCAAACAGAUCAUUACCAUCCAUUAGUUUAGAUAUUGUCAUCACUGUAUUUUCCUGUUCGUUUUAUUUUAUUCACUAGGAGGGGUAUUCUUUGCCACUCAGCCACCACUGCAACCAUGUUCUCAGUGCUAUUCAAUUUUCACCUGUACACUUUUGUGUUACAAAGCUCACAGCUUUCGAAUUUCCAGCCAGUGGUAUGAGAUGCAUUCUGCGCUACAAGUGUUGUUUCGGCUAUGUCUUGACAGGAGACAAAGAAUUGGAUGUGUAGAUUCUCUACAACAUCACAUUCAAAAUCGCACCUGUGCGUAGUUUAGAAUAAUACAGUAGGUGGUUUUGGACUGUGGGAAGAUGCAAACGUCACAAAAAAGGCCCUGGAAGAUUUGAACCAACAGCCUCCUCGUUUAGGCUGCCACACAACCCCAGUUUGUGGGACUUGGCAACUGUUUUCAUGAGUGGUCGAUCAGUCUGCCACUGGUUUCCCAAAAACAUGUGUGGUAGGUUGAUUGAACACUCUAAAUUGCCUGUAGGUGUGAAUGUGAGUGUGAAUGGUUGUUUGUUUCUAUGUGCCCUGCGAUUGGCUGUCGACCGGUUAACAAGUUUCAAAGUGGUUUGUUUAAGUUUCAGGGGUUUUGUAGAUACUGUAGCUUGAAUACAUUCAUUUACAGUUGCUUCAUACAGUGUAUUACGUUUUGUACAGUCCUAUAAAAUUCACAUUAAAUUAGGUUCAAAACUUGCAUUUUGAAGUGGUUUCUGUAAUGAGCAAAACAAUCGCCACCACAACCUUGUACCACUAUUCAUGACGUUUUCUUGUGAGUGCGUGUGUGCGUGUGUUCGUGCAUGUGUGCGUGCGCGCGUGUGUACGAGUGUGUUAAUGAUUUGCCUUUAUCUCUUUUCUCCACAGUCCAUUAAUCCUGAGUGUGGGACAAGCAGUCAUUACAUAUUUAACCCAGGUCACUUACUGUGGGUGGCAGAUAGUGUUGUCACAUAACAGAGUGCGACUGUAAGAAUGUCCAAGACAAUGUCUGUGUGAGUGUGUGUGUGUGUGUGUGUGUGUUUACAUGCAAAAAAAUGUAUUGAAAUGAAAAGUAAGUAACUUUACAAUCAAUAUUUGUAUAACUCCCAACAGUUCUGAAUAACUGUGCAUGUGUGUAUAAUAUAUGUGCGGUUGUGAUAUGUAAAUUCUGACCUUAAGAUAAAACCAGCAGCUCAGACAUUCCCAAUAUUAUCCUCGUCUACAGUCCCUGCUAGAUAAAUUUCAGCCCCAGAGAACAGGUGAGGCUCAGACAGCAAUUUAGCUCACACUCCCUCAAUAGCCUCCAUCUAUUUAUCUAAAUUGGUCGACCGAGAAUAGGAGUAACUCCUUGCACUACAUUUCUUUAAUCCACGUGACACUCCUGCUGUCAUGACAUGUGCUGUCUUUCAUGCACAUAGAGCUAAUCGAGAGCUUCCAUCAAAGGUUACGCCAAGCAUGUAGAAUUUCCAGAUGGAUUUUCUGAUUCUUCCUCCGUCUUCGUCACCCUUCACUUGCUAUUUGUUCCAGACCAAUGACUUUAGCAGAUCUGGGAUUAAGAUGGCAGAUUUCUAUGGUAAAAUAAUGUGCAUUUGAAUUUAAGUGAUUGCAUUACCCUUGUUGUAAUAUUCUUUCUUGUAAUGUGCUUGCUAUUUUUCUUUCACAGAUGGGGUAUCCUGUAUUAAACUGCUAACUUUAAGCAUUCCAUUGGAUAUGUGUAUACAGCUCUAAGGCAGGAGGGUUGUCUAAUAUGUUUAGCUACCAAGGGAAAUAAAGAGUGAAUACUGGUGGUCAGACUAAUCGCCUGCAAACAGCCUCUCACCGCUCACUGUAUUUUAAUUUAAUCCAUGGAUGAAUACACAAGCGCACACACAGGCUUGUGUGCAUGUGCAUAUGCAUCCAUAAUGGGCAGUGUCUUACUCUGCGGUCAGCAAGGCAGCUCUUGGAGCGUGUUCUCCCUCGCUGGCAUCAGCCUAACGACAACAAAUCCCACACAGCCAUUUUCUUGCCAGUAGGAAAUUCAAAAAAUGUGACUUGAGAUGAAACCACCAACUACUUGUGUCGGUUGCCACAUGGAGGAGCCAAUACACAUUGGACGGUCCAUCCAUUCAUUUCAUUUGCUCUUUAUCCUGUGGAGAGUUGCAGGUGUUCAGCAUCCUAUCCUUGAAAGCAAGAGGUGUGGUCUACCCAGGAUUGAUCAGUCAAAUGUUUCAUACACACUCAUAUUGAUGCCAAUUAGUCCUUUCAGUUAACAUACUGCACGUUUUGGCGCAGAUGUGAUGCAACCACCAGAUUCAUAUGAACAGUCCUACUGAAUUAACCUCAUACAUUUGAAUUGUCUGUGUACGGUGGCACAUCUGGCUUCAGUCUCAGCGUGGCUAUUUCUGUUUGGAUAGGAUGGGUUUUCUCCAGGUACAAUGAUUUCCUCCCACAUUCUAAAAACAUGUACAGUAUGUUAAUUGAAAACAAAAUGUUGAGGGUUUUUGUAUUCCCUUCACAAAUAAUACCAUUCAUGGUUUGAGACGUGCCUCCACUUGGAGCAUAAAUACUUUUGUUCUUUAGUUUUUCCACACCAAUUCAGGCUACUCUGUCCUAACAGCCUGUUUCAUGAACUGAUGAAGCCUGCUCAGAUGAGAGGCAAAACGUCUUCUAAGACCUGGUACACACAUUUUUCAAAUCUUAAAAGAUUUUUUUAUCUGUGACAAACCCCGCAUAUGAAGAUAAAAAAUCUGGCAGUUAACAGUUUUGGUCAUAUUGUGUGUGGUGUGCUCCGAUAAUAUCUCAGAACACCACCCAUAUAAAUUUUAUUUUCCACCGCCAAUCUCAAAAUCUUGCGUGAUCACACGUGAAUCUCACGAAACCGAAGAAGAAGAAACUCUUCCACCUUUGCAGCAGGUUACCAGAGCUGGGAGCCUUGUAAAAUGGUGUUGUCCACAAAAAAACGACUUGCUUUGGAAAAUACUUGCCGUGUGGGACCACCACUUUUUUUUUUUAUAAAAAAAGGACAUCAGGUAGGACAUGCUUUUUUCAAUUUUAUUAUUAUUUUUUAUUUACAGUCAUUUCUUUUUGUUGAGUCAGGGUGCUUCUGAUUGGGUACAUUCUGUUCCAUGUUUCGGGAGACGUCGUCUCUCCCCUACACACAUGGAGACUUUUGGUCGUAAAUAUUGAACAUGUUAAUUAUUUAAGAUUUGGCCGUGUGCAUGUAGGUUGUUUCAGCUGUUAACAUAGAUCAAGUGAACAACUAUAGAAGUGUGAACAUCGUAAUGUUGAAAUAGAUGGAAUUUAAAAAGUAAAGAAAGAAAAAACAAAUUCUUCAGCCUUUUAUCCAAUAGACAAGAUACAGUAGAUUGAUUUGCAAUUUUUUCUAACAUGGAUAAAUUAUGAGACCUAGCUGGCACCAAAGGAUGGCAAGAGGAUGGCAAUAGGACUUAGAAGAGGUGAGGUCAGAUGAGGAAACAGGAUGAUUGGACAGAGUUGGGCAGCGAGUGGGAUGACAAGAGAACUUCGACUGGAUUGGAUAAUUGACAUGGAUUUGUGGAAAAGACAAAGUGCUGAACUAAAAAGAUGGAGGGAAGUAUAAAAUGUAAUUUAACUUGAUAUUAGGGCCCUUUGGGCAUUGGGAACAGGCCAAGUAAGGCAAUGAUUCAUGUUUAAGUAAUCUACUGUAUAGGGAGGGACUUGUUGACGGUCAUACACUACUAACUAAUUUUACUUUUCACUGCUCUCUUAGCUAAUUUGUUUGUUUUAAGCAGAAAUGUUUGUUACAUUGUUCUCAAGGAAACUUCUCAUUUAAAUGUUUGGCAUUGCAGUUCACCUACACCUCGCCUUUUGAAGUCAAUAAUCUAUGAAGGAUGACUCAUUUGAAGCACUUAUUUUCAUGGGCACCCUCUGGAAACCAAGUCCAAGCUAGGUCUAAGGCCACUAUUUAAGGUCCAAGUCUCACAGCCAAAAAGCAAAACCGGGAUCACCAGGAUUCUCACACUUGGACCUUCAGCCUUGGCUGCGAGCUAAUUCCAGUGUUGUGCAGUGUGGAUGUGUGCAGGCCAUUUGAGGAAGCAAGCUGGAGAGCAAAUGAGCGGGACAUGUAGCAUCGGGUCAACUUGGCCAGCUGGAUGGGAUCUUAAAAUUGCCAACAAAUGCAUGCCGAACAGCUUGGUCGUGUGAAAAUUUUAAAACGAGCAAAGUCUUUUGCUCGUCACCCAAGCAUUUUGAGCCUUUGCUAUCCCCUUAAUGCAAAUAUGUUGCAGCUACUGCAGACACAGAGGCAACAUCAGCGUCAGCCUUUCUCUUACAAGCAAGGCUAGUUUGUCCUGCUGAAAGAGAAGAAAUAAGACUGCGGUAUUGGGAGACCAAUGAGUUUGUUGUUAGUGAAACCAUAUGGUUGAAAACAACAGCUUUGGUGAGGCUAAAACACCUGACAAAUGCUGCCGAUGUUCUAACUUGUUCGUUGACUUAAGGCAAAUAUUGCGAAGUGUGUACUCAAUUAGAGAAAAGUGUUUGAGCUGGUGGCACAAAUUGGUGGAGUGGCUUACAAGGAGCACCCUAAAUACAAAUGUACUUGAUGGAAGCCCCUGGCUUUGAAGAAAGUGAUUAAACAUUGUCUAAAUAAAAUAAAAAAUGAAUAAUAAUAAUAAUAUCUCAUUAUUCUGGCAUUUAAAAAAUAUAAAUCACUUUGGUAAUCCUAAUUGACCUAAAACAGGAAAGGUUUUGUCUGAUUUCAUGUCAGACAGUGAGAAAAAAAAAAGCGUAUACGUAUUUUUAUGUAGGGUAUGUAAACUUUUGGUUUCAACUGCAUACAUAUUUCCUCUUGAAAAAGAUGCUGCGAUUGUUAAUCCUUAGGGUUGUUUGAUUAAAGGUGCCAUAUUUUAGAAAACCAACUUUUUCUAGUAUUUGGGAUGUGAUACUGUCUCUAUGGUGCCUUUAUUAAACAUGUGAAAUAUGAAUUAAAAUCCUUCACGCAUUCCUGAGUUCCAGACGUUUUUGUUUUUUUUACGAGGCCUGGAAUCAGGUCAUUUGUAUUUCUCAAGCUUUUUUACGUCACUAGCGAAGAUGUCUGCCUUCUCUUACCCCUCCCGAGCCAGCGUGCUCUCACAAGUGGGUUUUCUACAUGGAGGCAAUCAAUCAGAGGGAAGGGGCGGGGUUAGCCAAUAUGGACAAUGCGGAUACAAAACUGGGUCAAACAGAAGUAGCUGCCAGGGGGGCUUUUCUGGAAACUUUAUUUAUUUAUUUAUUUUUUAAAUGAAAUUUACACUUUUAUACUAAGUCCAUGUGACAGAGUCCCUCUAUGGAGGUCUAAAAGAUCCAAAAUAUGGGACCUUUAAAGCAUAUCGCAAACAUAUGGGAACUGUUUUAAAUUGUAGAAAAGCCCUUUAAAUAAACAAGUUGACGAAUUAAUUUCCUGUGGUGAAAUAGAUUAUGAUAAAGGACUGUUUAGCAAGUGAAGACAGGGUGGACAAACACGAUAAAUGGGAAAGCUGAAAUUACGGAAAGCAGGAGGAGAUACUAUUGAACCAAAAUUAUAUUUACCCAUUUGGUAAGUAAAUGUUGAAAUUUUGUGAUCAGCUGUAUUGAAUAAGAAUGGAAAGGUGACGUGAGCAUUUUAUUCCCUAUGAGUAGAGAUGCCCUUAUCUAAACAGACUUGAAACAAAUCUAAUUGAAUCUGUUGAUACCGGUUCACAAUGAAGUGGUACUUCAGCUGGAUCACAGUCAGCUGAUGUGAAAGAUGAAUUUGCAUCUAUUACGCUGCACUUACUCAAGUGUUGGCUGUUAUCGAGAAGCACACACAUUUGGAAGUGAAACAGUUUCCAUGGACAUGUUAAAUCAACAGCAUCUGACUUUUGAAGGAGCUUAAGGAACAUGCGCACACACACACACAAAAGUACAUAUUUAUUUGGAGUACCACUUUUUUUAAUGACACAUUUAUUAGGAAUUAUAGCUACCUACAGAAUUGUACAUACAGUACGUUAUUUACACUUGACAACCAACCACUUUUAUCCAGACUGAUGGACGUUGAUCCUGAGAAUUGGACUUUGAGAGAAAAUUCAAUGCAUACUCUGGUUUAUAAGAGGACACAUUCACGGAAAUACAUACUUAAAAUCAGAUCAUAUACAAUACAAGAAGAAAAGACCAGACACAAUAAAGAAAUAUCCUGUAGAAGGAUAACAUUCAGCAAGCGUUCCAGUAUCCCUCCUGCAACUUGUGCAACCACCAUACUCCGUAGUACCUGUAACUGUGCUCAGCGCAGCUGACCUCACUACGAAUCUUAUAUCAAAUCUAAUAGUGUCACAGGAAAUUUUCGCAUCCGCCAGAAUGAGACACGCUAAAAAACAACAAUAACAGUGGCGGCGAGGGAAGUCUUCUGUAUUUACUCCUCAGCAUGUGUCUGUUGGCCCACAUGAAGGAUAUUCAAGAGAAAGCCGAGGAUAACAAGAAAUUGGACCACUGCAGCAAAUUGGAGACUGUGGAGUAUAACUCCGCUGCAUCCAGAGCUAAGGCCAGCAGUUGUUAAAGAUCUCCCUAAUAUAAUAUUGGCUCAGCAUGCUUGGAUCGAAAAUAGUACUGCAUAGUACCUACUUUGAGGUAUGGAGUUUUGCCUAAAAUUGCAAGCAUGAGCCAUGUCAACUGAAUAUAGUGUGCAGUUUAUGUGGUAUAUAAAAUGGAUGGUCAAAAUUCUUUUUUCUUCCAAUACCAGCUUGCAUUUCAACUAAAACCUGAUUAAAGCAAGAGUUUCUCUACAUAGAGCUCUCUUUCUCUUCUGGAACUACAAGACUUCAAACCUUACUGUGUCUAGUGUGUGAAUGUGGAUGAGUUUGUUGCUAUUUGUGUGUUCUGGCUGGUCAACCAUCCAGCCGUUGUUGUUGUGUAAUCCCCAUUGUUACUGAAAUGCCACCACUAUUAUUAUGGAAGAUUUAUAUGCCGCACCCAGGGACGGAGUUAGGAUGACAAUUUCUCGUGUGUGUGUGUGUGUGUGUGUAUCAUUAAUAAAAUUACACAGGGGAAUAGAGUUCGAAUGCCAGAAUAUAUCCGUGUUUAGGAGUUACUGUCAGACAGCCCCAACAUUGUUGUAAUAAUUGAUUAAUAGCACAGUAUAGCAGAUGGUCAAUUGAGUGUCUAUUUUUAGACCAUUAUAAACAGAAAAACAAUCUAUAAAGAUGAUCAUUUGAAUUUGAGAACCAAACCCUCUGGGCCUGAGUCACGAUAUUGUUGUGUUAUUCAAGUUAAACACAAUUCAUCUUUGAUUUGUUAGGAUUUGAAACACAGAACGUACAUCUUCCCCAUAUGAUAAUUUUUUGCCAACAUAAAAAUACUCUAUAUUGUACUGGCAUUAUUUUAAGUAACAUUUUAUCAUUGUAAGUUGGCAGGACAUUAUUGAUACAUUUAUAGUGUUUACUAUUGUUAUGACCCUGGUUCUGUGCCUGUUUGUAUUUUGUUUUGCAGUGUUGGUGGGCGGAGCCUCCUACAGCAUACCUGCUGCUGGCCUUCGUACUCUUUGUGUUAGUUUGCCUUCUGUUACCAGUAUUAUUUUUGUAAUACUGUUCCUUUUUCCAUUGUGUAGUGUUCGUCCCUAUUGCAAUCUGCUACUUACAGAAAACAAUUAGUGCUCCUUUAGUUCAUUAAAAACUGUAAUAUUGCUUAUUUUUUUAAUCUUGUUUGGGUUGGGAUCAUUUAUUUAUCUAUCACUGGGAAGUGAUAAAUAUGGCAUGUAUUUGUGUUUGAUAGCUGAUGAAAUAUCCUUCAAUCAACCAGAAGUCAAGAAAUCAAGAAGUCAAGAAAUCAGAUUUGUCGUCACUUAUGUCCCACGAAUGUAUGUUAUGUGCAUUUCACACAAAAGAAGACCACGUACAAAAUCAUUGCCCUGUAUUCUAGAUGUUUCAUCACCGUAGCAAUGACUCAAAACAUCUGGCAAAAAAGGAAUGGAUCGAGCAGAAGUACGUUAAGGUCAUGGAGUGGGCCAACUAAUCAUUAAUCCAUAGAAAAUCUGUUGAGGGAUCUGAAGCUUCCAGUUGUCGAGCGAUGUCAAAACAUCAAGGAUUAUGAGACAAUCUGCAAAGAGGAGUGAAUAAGCAUCAUGAUGUGUGCAAAAACCUGAUGACAAACUGCAAGAAAUAGAUGAUUUAUGCAGGGAAUUCUCUUUCAAUUACUGAAGUCUUCUUCUUUUUCUUUUUUUUUUAUACAUUACGGAGUUAUGGGAUGGGUAUUUGCCUUUUCAGUCCCAUCUGCAGUCUACUAACGGAUAGCACAAAUAAAGAAAAAGCAGUAGUGUCUGGGCACUUUCAAGUGGAGAAGAAACAAGAGGACAUAAAAAAAAUUGAAGAUUGAAGAAGUAAAGAAAAAAAGGAGUGCAACUGAUGCGAAAGGACGGUAUGGCAAGAUGAUAAAAGAGGACACUGGAAAGAAACAAAAUGUGACAGAGAGCCGCCACUGGAUAGGAGGUAACAAUGAUUUCUACGGCCAGAGGGAACACUUGUUUCAGUAGACCCGUCCGUCUUCUUGUUAUGCAGCUGUUAUCUCUAGUUUCCUUUUUAAAGGGAUUAAACUGUGACAGUGGUGUCUGGUUUGCCUCUCUAGUUUUAAGUCUUUACUGUGUCAGUCAUAAAACUGACAUUCAUGGGAAUGCAUGUAACAGUUCUUUAAACUUGGCAUGGUAAUUAGGAAUAUAUGGAAUGUUAAAUUGUUAUUAAAACAUUGCCUGUACAGUUAAUAAAGGUUUUAUGGUGAUGAGCCAGAAUAAAAAUGUAUUCACUUUUUUUCCAUAUUUUAAAAAAAUGUGUUAUUUUUUA